ACUCAAAGGAAUAGACGGGGGCCCGCACAAGCAGUGGAGUAUGUGGUUUAAUUCGAAGCAACGCGAAGAACCUUACCAGGGCUUGACAUGGAGACGACGGCUACAGAGAUGUAGCUUUCUUCGGACGUCUCACACAGGUGGUGCAUGGUUGUCGUCAGCUCGUGUCGUGAGAUGUUGGGUUAAGUCCCGCAACGAGCGCAACCCCUAUCGUUAGUUGCCAUCAUUAAGUUGGGCACUCUAGCGAGACUGCCGGUGACAAAUCGGAGGAAGGUGGGGACGACGUCAAAUCAUCAUGCCCCUUAUGUCCUGGGCUACACACGUACUACAAUGGCCGUAACAACAGGAAGCGAAACAGUGAUGUGGAGCAAAUCCCCAAAUGCGGCCUCAGUUCGGAUUGCAGGCUGAAACUCGCCUGUAUGAAGUCGGAAUUGCUAGUAAUCGCGAAUCAGCAUGUCGCGGUGAAUACGUUCCCGGGCCUUGUACACACCGCCCGU
rnacentral:rRNA from 1 species